CAGAGCUAGGCGUGCCUGGGUGCCGGUCUCCUUGUGGCCCUUGUCUGAGGGGUGCGUGAAGUGCCUGGCCUGAUCACCCCUCACCUGGCUCUGGUCCUGGCUGCCCUUUACCCUCGUCGGCCACCUCGCAGGCCACCGGCGGCCUUCUCUCUCUCCUUUAGGGAAGCCGCCCGACCUCUGGGACGAGCCUGGGAGCUCAGCCUGGAGUACUCUCAUCUGGAGUGGAGACUAGCGCCGCCCCGGGCGGCAGGAAGGCGAGUGAGGCCACCUGUCAGCGCGUCGGAGUCUCCAGGCUGGGUAGUUUACUUGCACCUGGGCGGCGCGCGAGGCCGAGGCCAAGGCCGUGCCUGGGUCAGCGUUCCACGCGCGCGGAAGAGAACUGCGGGGUGCGGUGGCCAGUGGAGCCGCGUAAGAAUCUUUGAAGGGAAGAAAUUAGUGUUUGCUCGAGAGAGACAGAGUAUGAGAGGGGGAGGGGCAGA